AACGAACGCUGGCGGCAGGCCUAACACAUGCAAGUCGAACGAAGUCUUCGGACUUAGUGGCGCACGGGUGAGUAACACGUGGGAAUAUACCUUACGCUGGGGGAUAACAUCGGGAAACUGAUGCUAAUACCGCAUACGCCCUUCGCGGGAAAGAUUUAUCGGCGAAAGAUUAGCCCGCGUCCGAUUAGCUAGUUGGUGAGGUAAUGGCUCACCAAGGCUCCGAUCGGUAGCUGGUCUGAGAGGAUGACCAGCCACACUGGGACUGAGACACGGCCCAGACUCCUACGGGAGGCAGCAGUGGGGAAUAUUGGACAAUGGGCGCAAGCCUGAUCCAGCCAUGCCGCGUGAGUGAUGAAGGCCUUAGGGUUGUAAAGCUCUUUCACCCACGACGAUGAUGACGGUAGUGGGAGAAGAAGCCCCGGCUAACUUCGUG
rnacentral:rRNA from 1 species